GAUUAUGAAUUCGUAUUUUAGUUAAAAACAUCUUCAUGUGGGAUUUGUUUCUUACAGACACGCAGCUUUUGGCUUCUGAAGAUGUUAAUUGAUGGACUGGAGUGGUGUUUUUUACAUUUUUAAGCUCUCAUUCUGCCGGCACCCAUUCACUGCAGAGGAUCCACUGGUGAGCAAAUGAUGCAAUGCUACUUUUCCCCAAAUCUGAUGAAGAAACAAACUCAUCUACAUCUUGGAUGACCUGAGGCACCACUGCACUGUACAAGCAGCCAAAAAUAAAUGCGUAAUGCCCUACAGAUGCUCUCACCUGGCAGCUGUAACAAGUACUUGUACGGUUCCAGCAGAAUCCUUUCAGAAGUUGCUCUUUCGUCUCCGUCCAUCCCUCUGUUUUUACAAAGAAACCCGCUGAGAAAAAGAGAGCGAGAGUUAAAACACAGCCUCCACAGAAGCAGCUGGAGUGACACAAAGCAGUAGAUGAGCGCUUAAGCAUCAGUGGGAACAAUUUAUUAUAGCAUGUCGCUGUCAUGGAAGUGCAGCGCUCGGCUCAUAAACAAUUUCAUGGACACAACAGCGACAUGAUUCUGCAGUCGCAUCCCAUCACUCAAACAGACACGGCCUCUUCUGGGCCUGUUACGGCCGACACAGAGAUCCAGACAAGAAACAACAACCAGUAUGACGGGGCUUUUCUGUGGAUGCUCGUUUCCGCCACAGGGGAAAAAUGUGAUUAAAAAAGGUAAUUGCAAC